CAAGAAUGGUGGCCGUUGGAAGGAAGAGGCAUGUUUGAGAGAUAUUUUGGAGAUAGAAUUGACAGCACUUGGCAACUAACUGGAUAUUGGAGCAUACCUGAGAAGUGGCCAUCCAGUCUCUGGUUGAAGAUCUCCAGUGAAGCAGAAUCCAUUAUGAUCUGAGAGCUGAAAUGGGAGGGACUCAAGAUUCAAACUCAGUUCCCCCUGCUUCUGAUUACAGUAUUCUUUCCACUACACCAUAUUUUCUUUUAUAUUCUUUCCCUUGGUCAUCUCAAUAGCUUUCAUGGGUUCACUAAUCACCUGGAUGCAGAUAAUUUCCCAUAUUAUACUAUCAAGCAGUAA